GACGAACGCUGGCGGCGUGCUUAACACAUGCAAGUCGAACGGAAAGGCCCUGCUUUUGUGGGGUGCUCGAGUGGCGAACGGGUGAGUAACACGUGAGUAACCUGCCCUUGACCUUGGGAUAACUUCAGGAAACUGGGGCUAAUACCGGAUAGGAGCUCCUGCUGCAUGGUGGGGGUUGGAAAGUUUCGGCGGUUGGGGAUGGACUCGCGGCUUAUCAGCUUGUUGGUGGGGUAGUGGCUUACCAAGGCUUUGACGGGUGGCCGGCCUGAGAGGGUGACCGGCCACAUUGGGACUGAGAUACGGCCCAGACUCCUACGGGAGGCAGCAGUGGGGAAUAUUGCACAAUGGGCGGAAGCCUGAUGCAGCAACGCCGCGUGCGGGAUGACGGCCUUCGGGUUGUAAACCGCUUUCGCCUGUGACGAAGCGUGAGUGACGGUAAUGGGUAAGGAAGCACCGGCUAACUACGUG
rnacentral:rRNA from 1 species